rnacentral:rRNA from 1 species
AUGCAAGUCGAACGGUAACAGACCGCUGGGAUCCCUUCGGGGUGACCUUGGUGCUGACGAGUGGCGGACGGGUGAGUAAUGCAUAGGAAUCUGCCCAGUAGUGGGGGACAACCUGGGGAAACCCAGGCUAAUACCGCAUACGACCUACGGGUGAAAGAGGGCCUCUUCUUGAAAGCUCUCGCUAUUGGAUGAGCCUAUGUCUGAUUAGCUUGUUGGUGAGGUAACGGCUCACCAAGGCGACGAUCAGUAGCUGGUCUGAGAGGACGAUCAGCCACACUGGGACUGAGACACGGCCCAGACUCCUACGGGAGGCAGCAGUGGGGAAUAUUGCACAAUGGGCGCAAGCCUGAUGCAGCCAUGCCGCGUGUGUGAAGAAGGCCUUAGGGUUGUAAAGCACUUUCAGCAGUGAGGAAAGGGGUGUCGUUAAUAGCGCCAUCCUGUGACGUUAACUGCAGAAGAAGGACCGGCUAACUCCGUG